UACGUAGGGUGCGAGCGUUAAUCGGAAUUACUGGGCGUAAAGCGUGCGCAGGCGGUUCGUGAUGUCUGGUGUGAAAGCCCCGGGCUUAACCUGGGAAUUGCAUUGGAAACUAGCGGGCUGGAGUGUGGCAGAGGGGGGUGGAAUUCCACGUGUAGCAGUGAAAUGCGUAGAGAUGUGGAGGAACACCGAUGGCGAAGGCAGCCUUCUGGGCCAACACUGACGCUCAUGCACGAAAGCGUGGGGAGCAAACAGG
rnacentral:rRNA from 1 species